ensembl:lncRNA
CCUCUGACCACACGGUUCUUUGGACCUCCUCUUCUUCCAGUGGCUCGGAUAAGCAAGGCUGAGAAGCGGGCAGCACCUCCCCCAGAAGUGUGGUGGCUGUGCUGCUGCUUUCUGAUCCUCCCUCUUAGCUGUGGUCUUGUCUUCCCUUGCAGGGCACAGUUGUCCAUCAGGGCCCAAGUCUGUGCGGGUGUCUUCUCCUGCCACCAUGCUGCUCAGCGUGGAGGAGGCACAGGCACAGAGGCGAGGCCACAGCAGCUCUCCCGCUCUGACACACUGCAGGGACAUCGAAGUGGAAGAAGGCCGCACAGCUGCAGGGGGCAAAUUCCACACAGUCAUCGACUUUCCGUCUGAAAGGUAAAGAGGACUUUCUUUCCCAGCACCUUCCUAUCAGGCGUGGUUGGGUGGGCUUUUGUGGGUUUUUCUCCACAAGUGCUAGUGCACAAACUUGCAGAAGCUACGUGACGUUAAUGGUGCGUGUGGUGUUGUACUCCGUCUCCGCUCCCUUUGGACUCUGAGAUUCAACUAACGCACAGUUGCCUGACGGGCUCAGUGUAGCCACCAAAGGGGGCCAUUCCUUCCUCGCUGAGCAGGCAGUCACAAGUUGGAUCAAGGCACACGGACCUCUAUCCUGGCCUGUGCUGGCUGUACCUGGAA